rnacentral:rRNA from 1 species
CAAUAGCGUAUAUUAAAGUUGUUGCAGUUAGAACGCUCGUAGUCGGAUUUCGGGGCGGGCCGACCGGUCUGCCGAUGGGUAUGCACUGGUCGGCGCGUCCUUCCUUCCGGAGACCGUCCCUACUCUUAACUGAGCGGGGGCGGGAGACGGGACUUUUACUUUGAAAAAAUCAGAGUGUUUCAAGCAGGCAGCUCGCUCUUGCAUGGAUUAGCAUGGGAUAAUGAAAUAGGACUUUGGUGCUAUUUUGUUGGUUUCGAACACCGAAGUAAUGAUGAGAAGGGACAGUCAGGGGCACUCGUAUUCCGCCGAGAGAGGUGAAAUUCUCAGACCAGCGGAAGACGAACCACUGCGAAAGCAUUUGCCAGGGAUGUCUUCACUGA